AAUAGAUACCCUGGUAGUCCACGCCCUAAACGAUGAUUACUCGUCAUUGGCGAUACACAGUCAGUGACCAAGCGAAAGCGUUAAGUAAUCCACCUGGGAAGUACGACCGCAAGGUUGAAACUCAAAGGAAUUGACGGGGGUCCGCACAAGCGGUGGGGCAUGUGGUUUAAUUCGAUGAUACGCGAGGAACCUUACCUGGGCUAGAAUGUGAGUGACCGGUGGUGAAAGCCACUUUUCCGCAAGGACACGAAACAAGGUGCUGCAUGGCUGUCGUCAGCUCGUGCCGUGAGGUGUUGGGUUAAGUCCCGCAACGAGCGCAACCCCCAUCUUCAGUUGCCAUCAUUAAGUUGGGCACUCUGGAGAAACUGCCGCCGUAAGGCGCGAGGAAGGAGGGGACGAUGUCAAGUCAUCAUGGCCUUUAUGCCCAGGGCUACACACGUGCUACAAUGGUAAGGACAAAGGGCAGCUACCUGGCGACAGGAUGCGAAUCUCAAAAACCUUAUCUCAGUUCGGAUUGCAGGCUG
rnacentral:rRNA from 1 species